CCUACGGGAGGCUGCAGUGAGGAAUAUUGGUCAAUGGCCGAGAGGCUGAACCAGCCAAGUCGCGUGAGGGAAGAAUGUCCUAUGGAUUGUAAACCUCUUUUGUCAGGGAGCAAAGUCACCCACGUGUGGGUGUUGGAGAGUACCUGAAGAAAAAGCAUCGGCUAACUCCGUGCCAGCAGCCGCGGUAAUACGGAGGCUGCGAUCGUUAUCCGGAUUUAUUGGGUUUAAAGGGUGAGUAGGCGGGUUAUCAAGUCAGCGGUAAAAUCGUGGAGCUCAACUCCAUCCAGCCGUUGAAACUGAUGAUCUUGAGUGGGCGAGAAGUAUGCGGAAUGCGUGGUGUAGCGGUGAAAUGCAUAGAGAUCACGCAGAACCCCGAUUGCGAAGGCAGCCUUCCGGCGCCCUACUGACGCUGAGGCACGAAAGUGCGGGGAUCGAACAGGAUUAGAUACCCGGGUAGUC
rnacentral:rRNA from 1 species